AUCUCUUCUGGUUUCAUUUUUACGUUCAAACAUUCUUUUUCUUCCACUGCCACCUCAAGUAUUUGACAUGAAGCUCACCCAUCAGUGAACAUGCAGGUGUCUGACCACAAACCAAAGUGAAAUUUUGACCUAAUGAAGGUGCUGGAGAAGAAGUCAGGAGAUAACUAAAGGUUUUACUGUGGAGGAUAUGAUGCCAAGAAGAACCUGAGGGAAGCAGGCAAGACAAGUGGUGCUGCAAUCAUGAGCUGUCGGCCUCCGUCUGGAUUAUCUCAUCCUGUCUAGGAGAGCGAUGUUAUCUAAGCUGUUGCACAAACACUGGAUCCUCAGGAUCUUCACUGGCAGUAAACACAGUCUAAUAAUUAUUGAUGUCAUCUAACAAUACCCAUUAACAUCUAAUAAAUUUAUUCU